AUUGAACGCUGGCGGCAUGCCUUACACAUGCAAGUCGAACGGUAACAGGUCUUCGGAUGCUGACGAGUGGCGAACGGGUGAGUAAUACAUCGGAACGUGCCCGAUCGUGGGGGAUAACGGAGCGAAAGCUUUGCUAAUACCGCAUACGAUCUACGGAUGAAAGCAGGGGACCGCAAGGCCUUGCGCGGACGGAGCGGCCGAUGGCAGAUUAGGUAGUUGGUGGGAUAAAAGCUUACCAAGCCGACGAUCUGUAGCUGGUCUGAGAGGACGACCAGCCACACUGGGACUGAGACACGGCCCAGACUCCUACGGGAGGCAGCAGUGGGGAAUUUUGGACAAUGGGCGAAAGCCUGAUCCAGCCAUGCCGCGUGCAGGAUGAAGGCCUUCGGGUUGUAAACUGCUUUUGUACGGAACGAAAAGACUCUUUCUAAUAAAGAGGGUCCAUGACGGUACCGUAAGAAUAAACACCGGCUAACUACGU
rnacentral:rRNA from 1 species